AAGAAGAUGACGAGCGGCGGACGGGUGAGUAAUACUUAGGAAUCUACCUAGUAGUGGGGGAUAGCAUGGGGAAACUCGUAUUAAUACCGCAUACGACCUACGGGAGAAAGGGGGCAGUUUACUGCUCUCGCUAUUAGAUGAGCCUAAGUCGGAUUAGCUAGAUGGUGGGGUAAAGGCCUACCAUGGCGACGAUCUGUAACUGGUCUGAGAGGAAGAUCAGCCACACCGGGACUGAGACACGGCCCGGACUCCUACGGGAGGCAGCAGUGGGGAAUAUUGGACAAGGGGGGAAACCCUGAUCCAGCCAUGCCGCGUGUGUGAAGAAGGCCUUUUGGUUGUAAAGCACUUUAAGCAGUGAAGAAGACUCUUCGGUUAAUACCC
rnacentral:rRNA from 1 species